GAUGAACGCUGGCGGCGUGCCUAAUACAUGCAAGUCGAGCGAACAGACGAGGAGCUUGCUCCUCUGACGUUAGCGGCGGACGGGUGAGUAACACGUGGAUAACCUACCUAUAAGACUGGUAUAACUUCGGGAAACCGGAGCUAAUACCGGAUAAUCUAUUGAACCGCAUGGUUCAAUAGUGAAAGACGGUUUUGCUGUCACUUAUAGAUGGAUCCGCGCCGCAUUAGCUAGUUGGUAAGGUAACGGCUUACCAAGGCAACGAUGCGUAGCCGACCUGAGAGGGUGAUAGGCCACACUGGAACGGAGACACGGUCAAGACUCCUACGGGAGGCAGCAGUAGGGAAUCUGACGCAAUGGGCGAAAGACUGACGGAGCAACGCCGCGUGAGUGAUGAAGGUCUUCGGAUCGUAAAAAUCUGUUAUUAGGGAAGAACAAAUGUGUAAGUAAAUAUGCACGUAUUGACGGUACCGAAUCAGAAAGCAACGGCUAACUACGUG
rnacentral:rRNA from 1 species